rnacentral:rRNA from 1 species
CACGUGGGAAUCUACCUAUCUCUACGGAACAACACAUAGAAAUGUGUGCUAAUACCGUAUACGCCCUUCGGGGAAGGAUUUAUCGGAGAUAGAUGAGCCCGCGCUUGAUUAGCUAGUUGGUGAGGUAAUGGCUCACCAAGGCGACGAUCAAUAGCUGGUCUGAGAGGAUGAUCAGCCACACUGGGACUGAGACACGGCCCAGACUCCUACGGGAGGCAGCAGUGGGGAAUAUUGCACAAUGGGCGAAAGCCUGAUGCAGCCAUGCCGCGUGUGUGAAGAAGGCCUUCGGUUGUAAAGCAC